GACGAACGCUGGCGGCGUGCUUAACACAUGCCAGUCGAACGGACAGGCCCUGCUUUUGUGGGGUGCUCGUGUGGCGAACGGGUGAGUAACACGUGAGUAACCUGCCCUUGACUUUCGGAUAACUUCAGGAAACUGGGGCUCAUACCGCAUAUGAGCUCCUGCUCCAUGGUGUUGUUUGGAAAGUUUCGGCCGUUCGGGAUGGACUCGCUGCUUAUCCGCUUGUUGGUGUGGUAGUUGCUUACCAAGGCUUUGACGGGUAGCCGGCCUGAGAGGGUGACCGGCGACAUUGGGACUGAGGGACGGACCAGAAUGGAACGGGAGGCAGUAGUGGAGAAUAUGGCAGAGUGGGCGGAAGCGUGAGGUAACAACGCCGCGUGCGGGAUGACGGCCUUCGGGGGAUGAACAGCUUUCGAAGGAGACGAAGCGUGAGUGACGGUAAUGGGUAAAGAAGCACCGGCUAACUACGUG
rnacentral:rRNA from 1 species